GUGGGAGUGAGCCUGCUCGCGAUGGCCGUGGGUCAGUCAAAAUCGAUGUUGGAUGUGAUGGCCUCAUCGCGAGCAGGCUCGCUCCUAC
rnacentral:misc_RNA from 1 species